CCGGCCCCCGGGCCCUACUCGGCCAAAACGGCCGCGGCUUCCCCGCGCGGGGGACCCGCGCGCGACCGCCGCUGUGCCGUGCCAGAAAAGGCUCGCCUGCCCCCGGGACCGCGGAGGGGGGGCAGGCAGAAAGGAGCUCCUAUUCGCUUCUCAUUUCCCCAGCGACAAAGUCUGACGUCGCCGCAUGAGGUCCCCAUCCUAAGCAGUUCUCUCCCAGAGGUUUGAUAUCCCGUCUUAGCUGGGGCUGGGCAGGUUCAUGGUGUGAUCCAAAGCUGAGCAUCACCUACACAGAGUGCUAGUUUAUAGCAAGAACUGACUCCAGGGUACUCUCCAGUUCCAUGCCGAUGAUGUAGUCAUCAGAGUUGCAAAGGAACAAGAGGAUUCAUCUGGCUUAACUGGAGAUGGCUCCCUUCCCCAUUUAUCGUUCCAUUCCUAAAGCUUCCCUCCUACCGGGCUUAGUGAGAGCAGAUGGAAAGAGGCAACCACCUCAGAGGAGCUCUGUGAAAAAAUUACUGAGACACUAAGAUGCUGUGAAUUGGGAAAGUUUGGAAACCUCAAGAUUAGAGCUAUACGAACUGUCUCAGAGGGCAAAGGUGGAUUUUAAUGGCUUAAGCUCAAUGGAAUUAUCCUAUGUGAAUAUGGAAGCUGAAAGGUCCCAAGAUCUGCAGUCGGCAAGCUGGAGACCCAGGAGAACCAAUGAUAGAGUUCCAGUCUGAAUCUGAAGGCUAAGCUGGAGACCCAGGAGAGCCAAUGAUAGAGUUCCAGUCUGAAUCUGAAGGCUAAGCUGGAGACCCAGGAGAGCCAAUGAUAGAGUUCCAGUCUGAGUCUGAAGGCUAAAGACCAAUGUCCCAGCUCAAACACCAUUAGGCAGAGGAAUGGUUGAUACACUAAAGCUCAAAGAGGAAAGGAAGGAUGUAUCCUAUUGGAAACUGACGAUCUAAACUAAAAGAAAGGAGAGUAGCAGAGACUUCAAAAUGUUGAAAACUCUCUCUCACAACAGAAGCUAAAAACUCUGAUGUCCAGAGUCAUAAAGACAAGAAACAGGAUCACAACAGCAAGGAAAAUAUAGAUUAAACAAUAACAGAAGAGAGAGAAAAUUUAUGUAAUUUGGGACAUUCCAGGACAAAGAACAGAAGAACAGACCGAGGAGAGGCAGCACUGCGCAUGUGCAAGACGGGAACCCACGUCUCCAGCAUGACCCCAGAACCAAGGAUCUUCAGUCCACAGAACUCAAAGAAUAGAAAUGUUGCCACUGGAGCCCUUUACGAAGCAAGAAGUCCUUCAAUAAGGAAAAUCUGGCCUCCUGCACCGCAAGGCUGUCUCCACUACUCCUCUGCUUAUGGGUGAAUGAAAAUGGCCACCCCAGCCCUGAUUGGACAACAUCCUUCAUUUCACACGUCAGCAAUCAUGGAUUAAAUUGAGUUUAAGCAGCCUGGAACAGUUUGAUGCCUCCUCCUUCCAGCCAUGGAAAGUGCCAGGUGGCUUGCCUCUAGAAUCUGACAUCCUGUUGGUGAGGAUAACAAUCCACAACUGAGAUCCUUUGGCUUUUUUUAGGCCCAUCUAUGAGAAAUAAAUCAGAAUGAUGCAGAGGACACUGUUAUUCUCCAAGGGAAAUAUUGGUGAUGUCAGAUCUGGAGAUGGCAAAGGGAAAUUUAAGACAAGUGAAGAACAAGCUAAGUUUGAAAACGUUGAGGGCAUGGCACCGCCCUCAGCUCUGCUGAGACAUGCCUCGGUGUUCUGGUUGGAUAUGUGAUCUCCCAUCAUCUUGACUACCUGCCAGGCUAAAUGCCCUCAUACAUCGACUGUGUUCUGGCUUAGACUCCUGCUUCUCGUCGCCUGCAAGUAUUUAGCUUGUG